CUCCUCCAUUCCCUGAACAACAUAUAAAAAAGAAAACACAAGCGAACUGAGAACAAGCAAACACAGGGGGGAGACAGGAAGAAUAAGAGAAGCAAUCAAAGCAAAGAAAAGCAAAACCAGAGGAGAAGCGGACGAAGAAUAAAAACAGAGAAGGAGAGAAGGUAGCUUUGGCAAUUCAGCACACCUUCGCCACCGUCUUCGACUUCGCCUCCUGCACAGGUCCGAAGACAAUUUCAAGGAUAAUUCUCCUCACUGUGUCCUGCCCUCUUGUUCUCUCUUUCUCUCUGUAUUUGGAUUUGUGCUCUGUUUUCUCUGCCCUUUUUUUUUUCAACUCUGUUUUUCUGGGUUGAUUUUUCGGCUCUCUGGUCUUUUCCCGGUGUUCUUCCCCUCCCUUUUUCUGCUCUACUCUGCCUUUUAUAAGGCCCCUAAGAGCUUGCCCCUCAAACCAGUCCUGGCUUUGCAGGACUGUUAUCCCUCCACGAACGGGAUUGUGGGCAGAGAACGUGGUCACGAUUGGGUCGGUUUUACUGCCGAUUUUCCAGCUUCCCUGUUGAAUCGGAAUGAAGAAGAUACACGACUGUUCCCCAACCACGGUGUCAUUUCGACAGGAAUGGAAAUAUUCACUUUGACCCCUAAUCAAUUUAAUCUCAACAAUUGGGAUCCUAAUCAGUAAUAAUUGAUUUCUAA